GACAGAGGGGGCAAGCGUUGCUCGGAAUCACUGGGCGUAAAGGGCGCGUAGGCGGGAUGGCAAGUCAGUCGUGAAAUCUCUCGGCUCAACCGAGAAACGUCGGCUGAUACUGCCGUUCUUGAGGGAUGCAGAGGAGACUGGAAUUCCCGGUGUAGCGGUGAAAUGUGUAGAGAUCGGGAGGAACACCGGUGGCGAAGGCGGGUCUCUGGGCAUCUCCUGACGCUGAGGAGCGAAAGCAUGGGUAGCGAACAGG
rnacentral:rRNA from 1 species